GAGUUUGAUCCUGGCUCAGAUUGAACGCUGGCGGCAUGCUUUACACAUGCAAGUCGAACGGCAGCGCGGGGCAACCUGGCGGCGAGUGGCGAACGGGUGAGUAAUAUAUCGGAACGUACCCAAGAGUGGGGGAUAACGUAGCGAAAGUUACGCUAAUACCGCAUACGAUCCAAGGAUGAAAGUGGGGGAUUCGCAAGAACCUCAUGCUCCUGGAGCGGCCGAUAUCUGAUUAGCUAGUUGGUAGGGUAAAGGCCUACCAAGGCUACGAUCAGUAGCUGGUCUGAGAGGACGACCAGCCACACUGGAACUGAGACACGGUCCAGACUCCUACGGGAGGCAGCAGUGGGGAAUUUUGGACAAUGGGCGCAAGCCUGAUCCAGCAAUGCCGCGUGAGUGAAGAAGGCCUUCGGGUUGUAAAGCUCUUUUGUCAGGGAAGAAACGGUGGGGGCUAAUAUCCUCCACUAAUGACGGUACCUGAAGAAUAAGCACCGGCUAACUACGUGCCAGCAGCCGCGGUAC
rnacentral:rRNA from 1 species